GGCUUUUCCAAAGGUAGUGAGUUAUCUCAGUAGAUUGUUUACGGUCAGUUACAGAUUGAACUUCUUGAUCUGCUCUUUCCUGCUUCUCACUACUGCACUUGACUAGUCUUAA
ensembl:misc_RNA Y_RNA Y RNA